AUUGAACGCUGGCGGUAGGCCUAACACAUGCAAGUCGAACGGUAACAGGAAGAAGCUUGGUUCUUUGCUGACGAGUGUCGGACGGGUGAGUGGUGUAUGGGAGAAUGUCUGUUUGAGGGGGGGAACUACUGGAAACGGUAACGAUUACAGCGUAACGUAGCAAGAGCAGAGAGGGGGACCUCCGGGCACCUUGCGCGCGGGUGUGCCCAGAUGGGAUUAGCUAGUGGGUGGGGUAACGGCCCACACAGGCGACGAUCCCUAGCUGGUCUGAGAGGAUGACCAGCCACACUGGAACUGAGACACGGUCCAGACUCCUACGGGAGGCAGCAGUGGGGAAUAUUGGACAAUGGGCGCAAGCCUGAUGCAGCCAUACCGCGUGGGUGAAGAAGGCCUUCGGGUUGUAAAGUACUUUCGGCGGGGAGGAAAAGAAUAAGGUUAAUACCCUGCUGCAUUGACGGUACCCAAAGAAUAAGCACCGGCUAACUCCGUG
rnacentral:rRNA from 1 species